CCUACGGGAGGCAGCAGUGAGGAAUAUUGGUCAAUGGACGCAAGUCUGAACCAGCCAUGCCGCGUGCAGGAAGACGGCUCUAUGAGUUGUAAACUGCUUUUGUACGAGGGUAAACGCAGAUACGCGUAUCUGUCUGAAAGAAACGUACGAAUAAGGAUCGGCUAACUCCGUGCCAGCAGCCGCGGUAAGACGGAGGAUUCAAGCGUUAUCCGGAUUUAUGGGGUUUAAAGGGUGCGUAGGCGGUCGGAUAAGUUAGAGGUGAAAUCCCGAGGCUCAACUUCGGAAUUUCCUCUGAUACUGUUCGGCUAGAGCUUAGUUGCGGUAGGCGGAAUGUGUGGUGUAGCGGUGAAAUGCUU
rnacentral:rRNA from 1 species